AGGGGAGUGGCUCAAUUGGCAGAGCGGCGGUCUCCAAAACCGUAGGUUGCAGGUUCAAGUCCUGUCUCCCCUG
rnacentral:tRNA from 1 species